rnacentral:RNase_P_RNA from 1 species
UGAGUCGGCCGGGUGGUCGCGGUCCGUACCCAUCGGGGAGACCCGACCGGGCACGGGUCGAGGAAGGUCGGGACUCCGCAGGGCAGGGUGCUGGCUAACGGCCAGUCGGGGCGACCCGCAGGACAGUGCCACAGAAAGCAGACCGCCGAUGGCGCUCCGGCGCACAGGCAAGGUUGAAACGGUGCGGUAAGAGCGCACCAGCGGCCGGGGUGACCCGGCCGGCUCGGUAAACCCCACCCGGAGCAAGGUCGAAACGGGGGCACGGGCUGCCCGUCCGGCUCUCCCCUCGGGGAGGCCACCCCCAGGUGGACCGCUCAGAUGGAUGACCACCCCCUCGCCUCCGGGCGGGGGACAGAAUCCCGCCUACAGGCCGGCUCACCGU